UUGUCACGUUCUCGUGACUAAGCUGCCCUCAGGCUGGUGGUAUUUAGCUUUGUCACAUUCUUGUGACUAAACUGACCUCAGGCUGGUGGUAUUUAACUUUAAUUUUGUCACGUUCUCGUGACUAUGCUGCCCUCAGGCUGGUGGUAUUUAACUUUGUCACAUUCUUGUGACUAAGCUGCCCUCAGGCUUGUGGUACUUAUCAGUUCCUUAGGACAUCUCGGUCCUUUGACGUUCGGACAUCACCAUCUUCAUGUGUGGAUACCCAAUUCAUUCUCCUGGCAGACUCCAUCAACCCUUUCCAUUGCUACCUCCAACAAGCAUAAUUUUGUCACAGGUCGCAACAUUGUGGACGUCGUCGUCUUAAC